rnacentral:rRNA from 1 species
GAUGAACGCUAGCGACAGGCUUAACACAUGCAAGUCGAGGGGUAACAGGGUAGCAAUACCGCUGACGACCGGCGCACGGGUGAGUAACGCGUAUGCAACCUGCCUAUAACUGGGGAAUAGCUCCCUGAAAGGGGAAUUAACACCGCAUAACACUAUUGAUUCGCAUGGAUUGGUAGUUAAAUGUAGCGAUACAGGUUAUAGAUGGGCAUGCGUGACAUUAGCUAGUUGGUGAGGUAACGGCUCACCAAGGCUACGAUGUCUAGGGGUUCUGAGAGGAAGGUCCCCCAACUGGUACUGAGACACGGACCAGACUCCUACGGGAGCAGCAGUGAGGGAUAUUGGUCAAUGGGCGCAAGCCUGAACCAGCCAUGUCGCGUGCAGGAAGACUGCCCUAUGGGUUUAAACUGUCUUUUAUAGUAGAAGAAACACAUCUACGUGUAGAUGUCUGCCAGUAUACUAUGAAUAGC